rnacentral:lncRNA from 1 species
UCAGAUGAAUCUCCGGUCACGUCAAAUCCGAUGACCCUGACCAGACCUGCAAACUGCCGGCGAACUGCAGAUUUUCGACCUGAACCGUCUCAAUCGCUAGCUCCAUCAAAGUACCUCAGAGACCUUUCCCUCUUCCUUGCUUCAAACAACCAUGGCAAGAAAAACACAUGUUGCUUCCACUUUUGGAUUUCAAAAAUUAAUUCCUGAAAUUCUCCAUCGCCGACCUCAAGAGCUUUCAUGUUCAUUCUGGACUCGGAAAACUUCAGAGAUUCGCAACAAUUCCCAAGCUUCAAUACCCGAUGACAUCCUAGAAAUACUUCACUGAGUUUAAGAAGAUUUAUUCUAGCUGAUACCAUCACCAUCUCAGCUCGCCGCACGGCUUCACCAGCUCUCUACCGGAAUCUAAAAACCAGUUCCGAAUCACCUCGUCAAUCCGCUUCUCAUCCAGUUCACAAAGAGAUGGAUAGAGUAAAUCGAGAGAGAACACAAUAUUUCAGAUCUUCACUUUACAAGGGUUGAAUAUCAAAGAGCCGAGCUCAGCAAUCCCGCACCAGCAACAAAAGCUAAGUGUCAUCUUCUUUACCAAAUACUAUGAUCUAAAAUCUCAAAGAAAAUAGAUCUCUUCACAAGCUUUCAUCGAAAUGUUGCAGGACUUACAAAAAUCAUAGCUCCGGCUAAAAGACGCUUCAGCAAUAUAAAGUAGCGACAACAAUUAAGAGCUUCAGCUCGUCAAUCCAUCCCGCAUAAGCACAAGUUCAAAAUUUUCUCAGUUCUCUCACCGACCUAAGCCAAAGUUUCAAAGCAACAGUGCAACAUGAAUAUUCUAAGCUCACCGAUCUAGAAGCUAUUCUUAGCUCGUUACCCGAACUCCUUGAUACCCAGGUAUUAUCUAUCAAAAUUAUACAUCUUAUUCAAAGAAUAUUCACCAUUGUCACAGGGUCUGUCCCUCCUCCAAGCCGAACUAAGGUUCGCAUUUAAAAAAAAAAAACAAAAAGAAGAAAAGAGACGGUUCUACAAAGCUCUUUAUAGACGAGCUCCGAGCUCCGAGCUCCUACCUAAACUCAUGCUUCUUGGAAGCUAUUUCUAAACCGAGCUCUGAGCUCUCAUUUCUAAACUAAGCUACUACUGAUACAUUUCAUCAGCCUCAGUCUGCUAGUUUCUUUAUAUCUGCUUCAGCUCGUCAAGUUUUAUAUCAGAAAGUUCGGAUUUCAAUUCAGCUCGGUUUUAGUUCAAAAUUCCAGUUCAGCUCUGAAUAUUAAUUGGGUUUCGAAUCCAGAGCUUCAGUCAGUUUGGUUUUGAAUCAGAAUUUCAGCUCAGUUCAGAACUUCAGAAUUUUUCAGUUCGUCAUCAGAUUUGGACUUCGGAACUUCAAUAUUAUCAGUUUUGUUCAGAAUUUCGAGUUUCAGUUCGAUACAACAGCUCAGUUAGUCAGUUCAGUUCAUCGACUUGAGUCCGUCAUCUCAGAAUACACUCUUCUGCCGAGCUAUACCGCGCUCAAACCUCUUCUAGCUCAUCAACCGAGCUCCUCUGAAAUUCAGGGUCCGUCCCUCCAAGCCGAAGUGACAUGUUCGCAGUCCCAACCGAACUCAUCGGUAUUACAUCGACUUCCUGGCCAGUUGUUCGAUAGCAUUUCUCAACAAUGCAACCUCAAAAAGCCGAGAUCCGUCUCGCAAGCGUCCACAUGGCGCCGUGGUGAAAGAAUCCACAAUUUUUAAAGCCGGGGCCAGUCCCGCAUUACUUAUUCCUAAGUCACCGAGAACAAUAAGCCGAGCCCAUCUCGCACACUCUGGUUCGAUUUAGGAGACCUUGAGUUUGUAUCAUGCGUUUACAAGGGUUCGAUUCCUCACUCUUCCAGUAUGAUAAAACUCACUUGAGUCCCCCAGGCCGAGUUCAUUUAACUCGCACAAAUUAAGCCGAACACCUCAGAUUCGCACCGUAAGCCGAGUUCUCAACACUCGCAAAUGUAAGCCGAAUUAUCGCAAUUCGCAACCGACUGAGUUGAAACUCAUAUAAGCCAAGCUAACAGGCUCGCAAGUCUCCAAUCUCAAUUCACACCGAACUAAAAAUACUCAUGAAAUCCGCCGAACUCUUACACAUACUCUUUCGCCGGACUGAGGGGGGGGGGCUUACUGUUGGUGGUGUACUACGCACCCCCGGUUUAGUCCGGUAUGAACCGAGAUCGGCCCAAUUGAUCCCGAUUUACGAUGGUUCAUAUCUGAAAGACAUUCGACCUGUUAACUGAUUUACAAUAUCAGUUUUUAUAUCCAGACUUUGCGGAAUAUUUCCUAAUCUUAUAUGAAAAAAGGAAAUAUUCCUAAAAGAUAAUUCCCCGAGAAAAAAGGAAGUUAUUAUUAUCUAUUCCGGGAAAUAAGGAAAUAUGCAUUAUCAAGUCAAGAAGGAAAAGGAAAAUCGACCAGCUUCAACUUCUAUAAAUAAAGAGCUCCUCGUUCAUUCAAGGGAGAUUCACAACUCUGCAGAAGACAUAGAAUACAUCUUUUUCUUAUUCUUUCUGUAAUAUGAACUACGAAUGGCUUGAUCCCUCUUUUGGGUACGUAGGCAGCUCAUAUUGAGUUCAGCUAUAACUUUAAUAAAAUCUCUAAAUUUUUUGUGUGAUACUCGGUAUCAACAUUAGUGAGGGAAAAGAAAAACAGAAAGAAAAAGAAACGGAUCAAAAGAGUAUACCUACAAAAGAAUUGCAUAUUUAAACGGGUCGGUGCUUCCGGAAUAGAAAUAAUUGUCGUAGUGGAAAUUACAAUAGUUAAAAUUUAUAAGUAAAAUAAAUAGAGGAUUUUGGAUUAACUUUAAAUAACAAAAGAUCUGAGGAAUUAUCAAGCAAUAAACAGAACUUUUAUUGUCCGAAGAGAUCAAAUGGGAUUAAAAAGCGGUUUUGAACAAGAAAUGCGGAGUAAUCUAUGUUUAGUAUUUAGAAUUCAUUCUUAAGAGUAAUUUUACAAAAGCAAAAACAAAGACUUGUCAAGUGUUUGAGUGUAGAGCUAGUUGGGAUAGAAGAAGUUUUGCUGCUUUUUGCUCUCCUCCGUGUUUGAUAUUUCCAAUUAUUCUGUCUGAUUUGCUAUGGAUAGUUUUAAUUUCGAAGAUUAUCGUCCUUACGUUUAGGUGCAUUAAUUCACAUAUUUGAAUAAUUUUUUGUUCUCGUUGUAGUUGACUACCAGAAUUGCAUUUAUUCUUCUUUGACGUAGAUUUCAAUUGGUAAAAAAAUUAGUCUGGUUCGUCACCUCGUCAGUAUUUUUGAUUUCAUCAGCAUUUUUACCAUUGGUUUAUUGGGUCUACCAUCACAACAGUGCUGAAUGCAAAAUGUUCAAAAUUCAAGUUGGCCAUAAUCAAAAUUUGACGUGCGUUGGACGAACCUUUAACAUUUUAUAUGAAACAUUAUUAACACACUAUUACAUCAUUUAUAUUCCUUUAAACAAUCAAUAACCAAUAAAUCCACCAUUACCCUAUGCACGUCUUCUAAAUGAGACAUUCUCUUUGCCGAUGGCUUGUCCCCAAAACUACAUAUAAUUAUGCAUUUUCCGGGAACUAACAAUAAGUCAGGGGGAUACGUGACAUAUUCUAUUUUUAAGGGAGAGUGUGCUGACGAUGAAAAAUACUAUUUUUGGGAUAAAUAACGGUAGAAAAUAUGGAUACUUGUAUAAACCAAACUAUGCCUUGUGUGAUAUACAGUAUAGGCCUGUUUGUUCAUUGUGUGAUUUUUUAUUAAGUGUAUGAUAAAUUAGAUGAUAUUCUUAGCGUCACAUGUGUUUUAGAUUAGGAAAAUCACUUAGCACCAUUUCCUUAGUUUAACUUUUGGUCAUUUGUACGGUUAGGUAAAGGAGGUGAACCUUUAACGGCGUUGGGGUCGUGAUGUAGCGUCAUGGGUCGAAGUCUAUUUGUGGCAUUGGACAUUUGCACCUUAUUAUUUUUGGACUUGGAUUUACUAUCUUUCUAUUUUUGUUAACCGUAAGGCUUUGGAUUUAAGUAGGUGUGUUGGCUUCUACUAGGGUUUAAUAUUUUUUCUACUAGGGUUUAAUCAUUGUCUUCUUCUAAGGAUUUUAUUAAAAGAUCUUAAACGCUUAGCCUUUGUAUUAAGAAUAACUCUCUUAAAUAUGCUUAGGAAACUUGCUCAAAACCUAAACACCAAAAGCUCAUAUGUAAUGCCACAUCUCGACAUCUAUACAUAUAUAAAACAUAAUUUCCUAUUCCUAAUUAUAUUAGAUAACUCCUAAAGCAACUAGAAACAUCUAGAAACCGACUUAAGUCCUACUUUUCCUAAUCCAACUUGAUUAAAGAUAUCUUGGGCCUGAAGUAAUGUUGAAGCUUAUCCAACAUUCUCCCUCUUAAGCUUCAACCCAUCCUUAGCCAUAUCUUGAAGACCAAUCAAACUCCUCAUUUCGGUAAACUUGAUCCUCGCUAAAGCCUUUGUCAGAAUAUCCGCCUUUUGCUCCGUUCCAGGUACAUGUUCUACUCCAACCUGCUCCCUCUCAAUGCAUUCUCGCACAAAAUGGUAACGCUUGUGGAUGUGUUUGCUCUUGCCGUGAAACACUGGGUUCUUAGUAAGCUCUAUGGCCGAGUUGUUGUCGAUUUUGAUGAUGACUUGCUCUGGUUCUCGUCCUGUUACUUUGCUUAGGACGUCUUGAAGCCAUAUAGCCUGUCUUGCUGUUUCAGUUGCGGCCAUGAACUCAGCUUCACAUGAUGAGAGAGCAACAGUGUCUUGUUUCUGAGAGCACCAUGUUAUAGGUGACUUUCCAAAGUAAAAAAUAUGACCUGUUGUACUUCUUCCAUCAUCAAAGUCGAUGUUGUGACUACUGUCGCUGUAGCCGAUUAACCUCCUUGAUGUGUCACGUCUAAACUUUAACCCAAAUGCAAGUGUCCCUUUUAAAUACCUUAGUAUCUGCUUCAUCAAGUCUCCAUGAGGUUUUCGUGGACUUUGCAUGUAUCUACUUGCAAUACCGACUGAGAACGCCAAGUCUAGGCGAGUGUGAAGCAAAUAUCUUAAGCAACCAACAUUCUGUCUGUAGCUAGUUGCAUCUAUCUCGGGUUCUUCUUCUGCUUUUGAUAUCUUGAGUCCGAAAUCCAUAGGUAUAAGAGUUGCAUUACAUUCUUCAAGUCCAGCUUCCUUUAAGAUCCUUCUCGCAUAUGCCUCUUGUUUAAUCUCAAUUCCAUCAUCUCCUUGGUGAACCUCGAUGCCAAGGUAGUAUGUUAGUUUCCCGAGAUCAGACAUUUCGAAUUUACUCGCCAUUCCUUCUUUGAACUCCUUUAACGACUUUGAGUCAUUGCCUGUGACAAAUAAGUCGUCGACAUAGAUGGCGAUUAUCAGAAAACUUCCCCCUUCCUCCUUUCGAUACACAGAAGUCUCUUCCAUACAUCUCACAAAUUUCAUGCCUUUCAAGAUUUGAUCCAGUUUUGUGUUCCACGCCCUUGGUGCCUGUCGCAAGCCGUAUAAAGCUUUAGAUAGUUUGUAUACUUUCUGCUCUUCUCCUCUUAUUUCAAAACCUUCAGGUUGCUCGACAAACAUGUCUUCUCUUAAUUCACCGUGUAAAAACGCUGUUUUAACAUCUAAGUGGUGAAUUUCCCAUCCAUGUGAUGCAGCUAGAGCCAUUAACAACCUUAUAGUUUCGAGUCUCGCGACUGGUGCGAAUACUUCGUCAAAGUCUACUCCUGAUUCUUGAAUGUACCCUUUAGCAACAAGUCUUGCUUUGUAUUUGUUAAUGGUGCCGUCUGCAUUCCUUUUGAUCUUAAAAAUCCAUUUAAGACCAAUAAUCUUCAUGUUGCUUGGCCGAUCAACAAGAGACCAUGUUUUAUUUUUGUUGAUCGACCGUAUUUCUUCUUCACAAGCUUUCCUCCAUUCCAGAGAACUUUCUGCUUCUUUGUAAUUUCUUGGUUCGCAAUCGAUGGAGAGAAGAAGUCUUUCACAUUCGACCGAGGCUUGCAUCACAAAAUCAUCGAAGUGUUUUGGUUUUCUUGGUUCUCGUGAUGAUCUUCUUAGAACGGGUACCUCUGUUGUUUCUUCUUCGUCAUCAUGAAUAGCUGGAUGUAAUUCCGAAUCAUUAUCAUCACCAUUUCCUUCAUUCUCGAGAUCAUGAGUGCUUUCUUCCUCUGUUUCAUCUGGAUCUUGAGGUCCGAUAAGAACGGGUCCUUCUCCUGUGUCUUCGAUGACUCCCCAUCGCAUAUGGAACAUUCCCGGUUCUUUAUCUGAGUUGCUGUCUACCUCCUUCCAGUUCCAAUUCGUUUUUUCAUCAAAUAUUACAUCUUGGCUUACCAUGAUUCUUCUUCUUGAAGGGUUGUAUAAUCUGUAGGCUUUUGACCCUGGUUCGAUACCUAGGUGGACUAGUGAUAUUGAUCUAUCAUCUAGUUUCCUGAGAUUUCCAGAAUCAACCUUUGAGUAAGCUAUACACCAGAAGAUUCUUAGAUGUUCCACACUUGGUUUUUUUUCUCGUAAGCUCUCGUAUGGAGUUAUGUUGUUGAGUGCCUUUGUGGGAAUUCUGUUAAUCACAUAAGUAGCAUGUCGUACAGCUUCUCCCCACAAAUAGUUUGGAACAUUCUUAGCUUUAAGCAUGCUUCUUGUCAUCUCCAUUAAAGUUCUGUUUCUUCUUUCGACAACGCCGUUCUGUUGCGGAGUGUAAGGUGCCGUCAACUGUCUUUUGAUCCCAUGUUCCUCACAGAAAGAUUGAAACUCCUUGGAGGUGAACUCUCCUCCCCUGUCUGUUCUAAGUGUGAUGAUCUCUUUUCCGAGUUCUUUUUCGACCAAGCAUUUGAACGCCUUGAAUCUGUUAAAGGCCUCGCCCUUUUCUUUCAAUAAGAUUGUCCACAUGUACCUUGAGAAAUCAUCUAUGAUAACGAAGACAUAUCUGUUUUGUGCAAGCGUAGCAGGUGUUAUCGGUCCACAAAGAUCAGCGUGAAGGAGUCCUAGUGGUUCUUCUGCUCGAUACAGAGUUGCUUUUGGAAAACUCUGCCUUGUUUGUUUCCCAACUAAGCAUGAUUCACAGAUUUUCUUUUCAUCCUUUGUUGCUGGUAAGCCGUGCACCAUCUUUUUUUGGGACAUGUCUUUGAUUGUUUUGAAGCUUACAUGCCCAAGUCUUGCGUGCCACUUCCAUGUUUCAUCUUCUAUCUGCGAGUAGAGACAUGUUGGUUUCCCAAUCUUGAGUUCGAUUUUAUAUAGCCGAUUAGGUGACCUUUGAACUUUUACAAGAAGUCUGUUGUUUGUGUCAUGAACGGUCAGAUAAUCCUGCUUCAUUCGAACAUCACACCCGAUCUCGGUAGCUUGCUUUUGAGUUCGGGAAUGAAGUAUAUGUCUUUGACAAGAAUCUGUUCAUCAGUUUUGCUUUGAAACAAUAUGGAUCCCUUUCCUUCGAUCUUUACGCAUGAUCCGUCUCCAAACUUUACCUUUCCUUUGAUGCUUUUGUUAAGUUCAGAGAAGUAUGUUUCAUUACCGGUCAUAUGGUUACUCGCACCAUUGUCGAGAUACCACAUACCUUCCUCGCCCUUGUAGUUCUUUGGUAUAAGUUUGUCUUCAUUCAAGAAAACAAUCUCAUGCAUAUACAGUGUAGCAUCAUCAUCAGCUUCCUCUGUUUCUGUGAUGUUUGCUUCUUGUAAUUUUCGAAUCCUUUCAGGGCACUUUGAGGCGAAGUGACCAGCUUGAUCACAGCGAUAGCAGAUCACACUUGAAAGAUCUCUUCUUUCCUUGUUUUGCCCGCUUUGAUUUGACCUGUCUUGAGAGUUGAAUCGACCUCCUCUCCCUUUUCCUCUAUAGCCUCUUCCUCGUCCUCUUCCAUACGAAGUUUGUUGUUCUGAGUUGGCGUACAACAGUUUGCUCUGCGUAUCGUCUUGCUUGUCAUCGUCGACAAUACGUUCCUCAUAAGCUUUAAGUCGACCAACGAUAUCUUCAAAACUAGUCGCCUUUAGAUCCAGAACUUGUUCCAAUGAGGCAAUGAUGUGAAUAAAUUUGUUUCUCGGUAAACCGUUGAGAAACUUCUUCACUAGUUUGGGCUCGUCGAUCGUCUCUCCAAGUGCUGUUGUUGUUGAUGAUGCAAUCUCCGACAACUUCCCAGAAAAAUCAUCGAUUUUUUCUGUUUCUUUCAUCUUCAUUCUUUCAAACUCUGCCAUUAGGGUUUGAAGUCUUGCUUCCCUGACUCGCUCAGCUCCUAGAUUCCGAGAUUUUAUUGCUUCCCACACUUCUUUAGGAGAAUUUUUCUCACCGACUUGUAAGAUCAAGUUCUCCGGGAUGGAUUGGAAGAGUAAUCCUGUUGCAAUGUCAUUCUUAGUGGAAUCUGCUGACCCUGGAUCAAUGGUCUCCCACACUUUAUGAACUCGCAACAGCACCCUCAUUUGCAUUGCCCACACGGUGUAAUUGGUGGUUGUAAGCAUCGGACAUUGUAUUGAGUUCGGAAUCGUCUCUUUUUUUUGUGCCAUCGGAAUCACAUCUCCCAUGCUUUGUGUAUUGGAUUAUCUUCGUGUUUCAAAGCUCUGUAAUUUCGGAUCGUGUUUCAAAGCUCUGAUACCAAAUAAAAGAUCUUAAACGCUUAGCCUUUGUAUUAAGAAUAACUCUCUUAAAUAUGCUUAGGAAACUUGCUCAAAACCUAAACACCAAAAGCUCAUAUGUAAUGCCACAUCUCGACAUCCAUAUAUAUAUAAAACAUAAUUUCCUAUUCCUAAUUAUAUUAGAUAACUCCUAAAGCAACUAGAAACAUCUAGAAACCGACUUAAGUCCUACUUUUUCUAAUCCAACUUGAUUAAAGAUAUCUUGGGCCUGAAGUAAUGUUGAAGCUUAUCCAACAUUUAUUUCUUAGUUGUUUUCUAUUUAAAGAUACCUUAUGAUUGUAAGGAACGGUGGUUGUUUUUCGGCAUUCCUUUGAGGAAUCAUCGAAGUGAUCAAGACGUACGACAAGUGAUUCAGUUAUUAUUUUGAAUUAACGAACCCUUGUGUUAUCGUUAUAAAAACCUAAUGAAACGUUAAGUUGUUCCAACAAUCGUAGCUUCGGUCAAGUUGAUUAUGUAGAACUCAAAAGCUUAAAGAACUGCACUUCUUUAUUAGAUUUAGAAAACUCACACAAAAACUAAAUCUCUCUCUUGAAGUCUUGUAGAACAACUCUCUACUUAGAACUUCUUAUAUAGGUAUAAGCGACAUCCUAAACCUAUUAGGAUUACAAACCAAUUUCCAUAUUUGUAAAACCUAUUUUCCUUUUCUCUAUUUCUCUAGAAACUUCCACUUUCUAAAGAAACUUAUUCCCCAAGUUCUGGAAUUAUCCAACAUUCACCCCCGUAAUUCCAACAUGAAUUGCAGGGUCUUCGAUUGCUUGUACUCCGAUCAAGUUCCUCAUUUCCUUGAAUUUGAUUCGGGCUAGUGGCUUCGUAAUUAUGU